UGUUAAUAAGAUAUUUCUUAACUAAAAAUGUUUGAGCAUAUGAACUUUGUAGUGAUUUCAGUGCAUUACUGAGAUAAGCU
rnacentral:snoRNA from 1 species